CACGUAGGGGGCGAGCGUUGUCCGGAAUUACUGGGCGUAAAGGGCGCGUAGGCGGCUUAAUAAGUCUGAUGUGAAACCCCUGGGCUUAACCCUGGGCUUGCAUUAGAAACUGUUAGGCUUGAGGACAGGAGAGGAAAGCGGAAUUCCCAGUGUAGCGGUGAAAUGCGUAGAUAUUGGGAAGAACACCAGUGGCGAAGGCGGCUUUCUGGACUGUAACUGACGCUGAGGCGCGAAAGCCAGGGUAGCGAACGGGAUUAGAUACC
rnacentral:rRNA from 1 species